rnacentral:tmRNA from 1 species
GGGGACGCGUGGUUUCGACAGGGGAGGUGUGUUACAGGACUGCAAGCGGAGGUGCCGCUCCCUCCUUAAACUGGUGGCAAAAAACAAACGCAGAACCAGAAAUGGUUGCAGCCUAAUAUAGGUUGCCAUCUAACCUGACCCCACCCCGACGGGUUAGGAUUAGGUGCCGAAAAGCCGGGGUGCCGUCGCUUUAACGCCGAUGGAAGCGGCGAAAGAUUAAUCGGCUGGCCGGACCCGACUCGGUCAGUUGAGGCGGGACCGGUAAGAUUAAAGAGCUGACUAAGCUUGUAGGAUGUCCUGGACAGCUUCUUUUGGACGGGGAGUUCGACUCUCCCCCGUCUCCACCA